UAUAGGAUUCGCUUAAUGCAAUAUCUAACUGGAUUGAACGUAAACCGUUCUUUGAAUACGAUUGGAGGGCAAGUCUGGUGCCAGCAGCCGCGGUAAUUCCAGCUCCAAUAGUGUAUCUUAAUGUUGUUGCAGUUAAAAAGCUCGUAGUUGAAUUUCUGGCACUCCAGCUGCCCUCGGGCGUGCAUGGGGUUGUCAUCCGCGUUGGAGCCCUAUGCGUGGAAACACCAUGCGGGGAAGGCGCAUUUUACUUUGAAGAAAUUAAAGUGCUCCAGGCAGGCUAUGCUUGAAUAUUACAGCAUGUAAUAAUGGAAUAGGACUUGCCCUUUUCGUUGGGUAAUUGGACUAGUAAUGAUUAACAGGCACAGCUGGGGGCAUUCUUAUUG
rnacentral:rRNA from 1 species